UACGUAGGGCGCAAGCGUUAUCCGGAAUUAUUGGGCGUAAAGAGCUCGUAGGCGGUUUGUCGCGUCUGCCGUGAAAGCCCGGGGCUCAACCCCGGGAGGCGGGUGGAUACUGUCAAGCUCGAGUCCGGAAGAGGAGUGUGGAAUUCCUGGUGUAGCGGUGAAAUGCGCAGAUAUCAGGAAGAACACCUAUGGCGAAGGCAGCACUCUGGGACGGUACUGACGCUGAGACGCGAAAGCGUGGGGAGCGAACAGG
rnacentral:rRNA from 1 species